rnacentral:lncRNA from 1 species
GACCCUUGUAGGCCCUGCAUGAUUGUCAUGGAGACGAUAAGAGUCAUAGUUAAAAGUCAUAUUCACUACAAUGCCAUUGAGAUGGUGGAAGGUUAUGUAGCAAUAAAAACUUGAACAUCACAGCUUGACCGAGUGGCUUGAUGCAUUGCCAAACAGUCCCAAAAAAAUACGUCUCACAGUAUCUGAACGUUAUUGGAACUCAACUAGAUACAACUCCUAACACACAAUUCUUCUAUUUGUGAGCGUGAUAUUACAUGUUGAAGGAUACGGUUAACUUUGUAUAGAUUUCCUGUUAUUCCAGGAUAUCUUUAAUCUUGGGUUUCCUAGUUUAGGAGAUAUUAUCUUGUAAUUAUUCUUUCCUGUUUACAGUAGGAUUGUAUAUGAUUAUAUACUGUUGACCCUAGAAAUUACAAAGCCUACGUGGCGCGCAGGCCGAAUAUAUUCUAAGCUAACUACGUCCUUCGGUGAUUGCGGGGCGUGCCAACUCGUCGGCCGAGGCUCGGCCGAGGAGUAAAUUUGAUGAUGCUGCGUUGGGUCGCGCUACUGACUUCUGCGUCUUGCGAUUGCGGCCGAGAAAGGAACGCGUCUCGGCCUCUUGGGUUCUCGAGCCUGAAGACAAGGCUGCUAUUUCUUACAAAGUUCACGAACCGAAUUCGGCUUACAAUGUGCCGAAUAUAAUAACUGUAACACCUCACCUCGCCGAGAAGGCUAAUGAGAUGACCUCGACCAAAAAGGAUUCGAAAACCCUUCUCGACCGAGACUUGGAUAGGCAAUCGACCGUUCUCGCUGCAGUGCUGUUGAUGCCAACGGAAGAUACUGCGAGACCGACCGACUCUACGGUGACAGAGCUAUCUAUGCCGACUUAAGAUAUCACCGGUUGCUUCCACAGUGCUGUUGAUGCCAACGGAAGAUGUGUCAGCGAAAAAGGAAAAGAAAAAAGAUCUCAAGUUGUGAGAGUUUGCGCAGGGCAAUUUUGUGUUGAUUUGCAGGGCUCUUUCCAUUGCUGAAUGUCUUGUAUUUAUAGUAGCAGAACACCGAGCCCGAGUUCUAAUCCUAUUCGAACUAGGUUUCCCUCUCCGGAUUAACGUUACCUCAAUCAGUCCUAUCUCUGCUAGGACUACGAAUCUAGUCCUUAACUGAGCCGGAUUCGCCUUCUAGUUUUACUGAUCUCGUCGAGGGUCCCUAUUGUAUUAGGACUCGACUUGCACUCUGAUUUAACCGAUCUAGGCCUAGAAGCCCAUGAGCUGAAUGCCCCCAUGACUCUCUCGCCGUACGUCUUCCCGGGCCGAAAGUGAUCCCUCCCUCGGCCCAAACUGUUAUUUUGGGCCCAAACAUAUACAUACCUUUGAAUGAGAAGAAUAAAAUACACAAUCAAAGCAUUCUCUUCUUG